rnacentral:miRNA from 1 species
CAUGUAUGUUAAGCGUUUAUGUGUUUAAGUGCGUAUGUGUAUAUACAGAGGCAUUACACACACACACACACACACACACACAGAGCAGGAAAUAUACAUAU